GCUCAGCAGCCAUGGCUCACGGGCACAGCCGCUCCGCGGCAUGUGGGAUCUUCCCGGACCGGGGCACGAACCCGUGUCCCCUGCAUCGGCAGGCGGACUCUCAACCACUGUGCCACCAGGGAAGCCCCAGCCCAUUUCUUUGAAGGCAGCAUGAAAUGCCAGGGAAGACAUUUCAACUCAAUGAGGAUCAGGACACACAGGAAGAAUACAGUUCCUGCCUUGUGUUUAGUGAGGCUAACCUCGGAAGUCCUCACUCUCCCAGAAGGAGAAGUUCCCUCCAUGCUUUCCAACUCUCUCCACCUGUACAAGGCACAGGUUGGUCAUUUACUGGUCAAUUUGCUCAUUAAUAAUAAACACCCCACGUGAGAAGUUCCCAUGGACUAAAUUAAUUGGAUAACUGCAAAGGCUCCACUUGUCUUGGGACUGUUAGAAAACGUCUCAUUACUGGAAACUGAAAGAUGGAGCCAUUUGGAUACUGGCCCAGGACCACCCAAAUGGGAAAAAGGGGAUAACCUCAGGGUGGAAAAGCCUGGCACACAACGUGCAUCAAAUGAUCUAAGUGGACAUCACCAGCAUGAGGACAAAAGUAUGGGGCACUUGAUAGGACGUGAUGGAAAGUAUUUCUGUGAUUUUCCUGCCAAAGCUCCAUCGUUCUGCUUCAGAUACUCAAAUGGAAUUUCCAGAUGGUUGCCUUCUCUAAGGCAUUAGCCAGAACCAGGCACAUGGUCCCAACCUAACCACGGCGGCUGGGACGUGUAGGAAGAGAAAGCACAUGGAAUGUUCGAGAGCACUACCAUGUCGUAUUGCUGGACAAACAUAAUCCGUUCAAUUUGUCAUACCUUCUGAGGCACGGAGAAAGGAAAAGAAGAAAUGAGGGUUAACAGCCAUUGAGCGGUGCUCAGUUUGCAGACAAUAUGCAUAAAAGAUCUUACUUAGUCUUUAUAAGCACCAUUGCCAAUCCCCAAGUUGUACUCACAUUUUGACAGAACAUUUGCGUUGCCACGUAAAGAACCACGACCAGAGGAGAUGGUGGCGGAGGAUAAAAGGAGCCUGCGAGUGGGAGAAGAAAGCUCUGGACAGCAACGUGUCACGUGACUAGCUGCUGAAAGGAAGUUUUUUGUACCUAUGCGUAUUCUCCUCCUUGCUUUGAUAGGGAUAUAGGCAUAUAUAUUAAUCAGUUCCUUUUCCCUCCUUUCUCAUGCCCCCUCUAGCCAAUAUAAAGCAGCUAACCCUAUAAUUUGGCAUUUAAGUCACAGGAAAGCAAAGGAAUAUUGCAUCUGAACUAGGAAUGAAUAUUCUCGGACAUAAGGUGACAUAUGGGAGGCGGUGUCUUUCUUUUCCAGGAGCAGGUGAGUACAUCCUCAGUUGUGUAAGGGACAGUUGUAUCACAUUAGGGAUAACAGGAUGUUAUGUCUUCCGGGGGAAGUUCUAAUCUGGGGAAAGACGAAUGGACUGUACUGUCUGUGUUCAGCUCAGCAUCGUUACCACCCUGCGCUCUGCAAUACAGAGGAGAGGGCAGAAACCACGCUUCUUGCAAUUCCCUUUCCUGAAAGGUUCUGGCUAGAACUCGUCCGUAAGAGGUUCUCAGGUACAAUAUGGAAAAGGCAAGGCCAUUCUCCAGAAGCUGUCGCCAGCAGGUGUGUGGGCAGCUGCGCCCCCCCACCCCGAGCUCCUGAGAAUGACCUGCCUCACUGCUGCAGCCUGAGACACUGCAGCCUCCCGGAGACCCAAGAAUGUAAGCAGUUAUUUAGCACGGCUUCCCUCACCUCUUCUCCUCCCGCUCUCGCAAAGCCUGCGUAAGACUCUCAUUUCUAUCUGAAAUCCUUAACUUCACAGUAAUUUUAAUAUACAUCCCAG